GGUUGGGAUAUCUGGUCGGCAUGGACGAGUUGGACCGAAGGGUCCGUCUCUGUGUUGUACAUCUCUGUGACUCUCCUGUAUUCCUCCUUCGAGCACGAUCUGACAGCUCUGCCUGGCACCAUGUACCCACGGGUGGGCGGAAGCCAGCAUCAAAGAUGGCGGCACGGCCAAUCAAUUGGCAUCACUUCCCAGUGCGCAGGCUUAAUUACCGGAGCUACCGGUGAAGGAGAGGAAGAUCUCGCGAUAUUCGGCGUCCUGCUCCAGCGCGCCAAUUUUCAAAGGCGCUUCCUGUAAACAGAAGGAGAGAGAGAAUAGACAACAGACAGCUGGUCUGCCGCGGCUGUAGUUGAACCGAUCGGUCACACCGAGGAACACUGGAUCGACGACAACAACAACAACAACAACAAUUGCAUUGACGUCUGGCGGAGAGAGACAGCGCGAGACCCUGUCCACCCUAAUGGUCGAGGGUAGAGAUUCGGGCCCCUGUUUUGAUGACCUAACAAUCGGAGCCUACACCCGGGAGCCCAGGAUUUGAUGACCUAACAAUCGGAUCUAAAACCUGGAACCCAGUAUUUGGUGAUUCAACAAUCAGACUCUGCCCCCGGGAGCCCAGGAUUUGGUGUCCUAACGAUUGCAACGUAUCCCGGGAGCCCAGGAUUUGAUGACCUAACAAUCGGAACGUACCCGAGGAACCCAUGAUUUGGUGACUUAACAAUCGGACUCUGCCCCCGGGAGUCCAGGAUUUGCUGACCUAACGAUUUGAACGUAUCCCGGGAACCCAGGAUUUGAUGACCAAACAAUCCGUCCUUCGCCCCCAGGAGCGCAGGUUUUGAUGACCUAGCGUCCCCCAACCCCAACACCGUCCCCAGAGAGGAUGCUGUCAGAGGUGCAGCCCUGUCUGCAGCUGCUCCGCAUCGGCACCGCCCCGCAGCCCAGCCCGAGGCCCGGAGAGGUUCCGGCGCCGGCACCCGCCCCCGCCCGCGACCUCUACACCUUCCUGCCUGUCGGCCAGCGGUGCACCUUCCGCCUCGGCCGCCGAGCCGACCUGACCGAUCUGUGCCUGAGCUCAGGGCGGGCCGAAGAGCUCAUCUCCCGGGUGCACGCCGAGCUGCAGGCCGAGAGGGGGGCGGCCGGGGGCGACUGGAGAGUGCACAUCGUCGACAGGAGCACGAACGGUACGUUUGUGAAUGACAUUCGGAUCCGCAGGGGCGAGAGGACGGAGCUCUCCGACGGAGACACGGUCACCUUCGGCCACCCAGACGCGGUGAACAUCCCGGAGGGCUCGCUGGCCGCCCAGCAGGACUCCGAGUUUUAUUUCCUCUUCCAGAGGGUGACGGUGCGCCCGGCGGACUUCCACGCCAUCACCAGCCCGGCGGCAGCAGCGGGCAGCGGCAGCGGCGCCUUCCGGCCGGUGUGCUGCUCGGGCCGGCGCCUGUCCCCGCAGCGCGCCCCCCGGGCCCGGAUCCGGAGCUUCGCGCGGGGAACGCCGCCGCCUGCACCUGCACCCGCGCCCGCGCCCCGGGCGACGCUGAUCCUCGACUCGAUCGGCAGCAUCAGCAAGCUGAGGUCGCAGCUGCUACUGCAACUGCAGCCGCCGGGCACGGCCGGCCUCGGGCUCGGCCACGGCGGAGACACCAAGCGGCUGCUGCGCGCCCUCCGCCGCCACCUCGCCCCGGACUCCCGGCCCCCCGGCCCCGGCCCCGGGCACCCUCCGCCCCCGCAGAAGGCGCCCGCCAAGCACCGGCGGAAGGCCGUGCACACCGUGCUCCCGGACCUGGAGGAGGAGAUCCAGCGGUUCGCCGUCGAGGUCCAGCACAGCGCCCCGGGCCGGCGCCACUGCAAGUCCGAGUCGGGCGUGGACCCCGACCUGUACCGGCAGCUGACUCUCGGGGUGCGGGCGCUGUCGCCGGAACGCAGGCCUCCCCCCGGGGAACUGGAGCAGGGUGGGCUUGUGCCCCGAGAUUCAACAGGGAACGCGCACAUCACCCCGUCUGGAAAGAAGAGAGGCCGGCCACGGAAGCAUCCUCUGGGCAGCAUCCCGCUAGCUUCGAAGGUCAUGUGCAAGGUCUUCACUCACACGCUGUACACAGCAGAGCAGUGUGCCGCUGGACGGUGCCAGCUACCACAGGAGGACACGGUGGAGUGGGUGCAGUGUGAUGACUGCGAUGCCUGGUACCAUGUGGCUUGUGUCGGCUGUAACUACACGGCCAUGAAAGAGGCUUCGGCUGAAUUUCACUGCGGCUGCACAUAACACUCACUGAGGGCAGAGUCUAAGGACACGUCGGUCAGUGACUCUGUUCCCAGUCCUCCUGAGUUCUCCUUUAAUGCUCCGUGACCGUCAGUGAAAAUGUCUCCAAAUCUCUCUUGUGCCCACCGGCCUUUUUGCAUCUGGGAAGUCUGCUUGAAAGUCAGGGUGUUUCGAACCAGGAUUUUCAACGGCUUCUAUUCUCUGGGAGUUUUAUUGGUAGUUAAAGUAUUGCCUAUAUUAUGUUAUUUUCGCUAGAAAGGGGUGCUGUUAAUUCUGAGAUUCUGCAAUGGGUCACGUCUGGUGCAAGUCCCAUAUUGAUAGCUAUAGACAGUAGCGUGGAUGGUCAGACUUGGUCAAGUGUCUGAACAUCUGAUUUCUUCCUUGGCACAGGUUUGGGGGGGAGUGGGAGGGGGGAGAGGAGGAGGAGGAGUGCUGGAUCAGUGCACUCUUCUUGUUGUAAUAAGCUAUUUCAGUAUCAAAGCACAUAAGUUUGUCAUAAAUGUUUGGAAUAUUUAGCGGAUGAAUUUUAAAGGAAAUCUUGCUGCGUGAUUGGGAUCAGGGUCCCAAGAGCAAGGCCAAUUCUUGAUGUCUUCAUUGGCAAACACGUCACAGGGAACUGAAUCGUUGCGAUAUCAAAUGCCAGGGAUGCAAUCUGACAACGUUGCUAUUUGCAAGAUCUGUAACAAUAAUGACACAGUAUAUUUAAUUCAACAUAGUUUACCGGCAAGGGAGAAUAUCCAUCAAGAAUCCUGUUCUUGAACAAUGUCCAGUGACCUUGUGUUGGACUGUGCUCUGUGUGUCUUUGAGGGCUCCAGCUCUCUAUUCUUUGUGGCUAAGUGGGAUGUUAGGAUUGUGGUGUAGGAUGCUAACUGGUCCAUUGUGCUUGCACCCCUUCCAUUACCUGCUGCUAACGUUCCCCACCUCCGAACCCAGCUGUUGCCUGGGCCCAAUGCAAAUGAUACCUUGGAGGGUCUUUCAGGAUUGGUCUCGAAUGAGCCCCCUACCAGCUAAGAAUGUGCUCCUUGACCACGUGCAGCCAGGCGAUUGGCUCAGGAUGUCAGGGAGCUGGGCAUGUUUCCCAUUAACUGGCAUUUUAAAUGUUGAGAAUGAAUGGCCAGCCCUCCAAAUCUUUGUGUCAAUUCAGCAGACUCCAAUGGCUUUGUCUGCGGACUUGGCUCCCAAAUCAGGAAGAAUUGUUGUACUCCCACAGCGUCCUUUUCAAACUGCUCCAAGAAUAUUUUUGCCUCACAGCCAAUGAAUCACUUUUGUAAGGUAAUCACUCUGUAUUUGUUGUGAGCCGGUACAGUUUUGUUUACGGGAGACUUUGGCUGUGCUCCAGACUGGGUUCACGAGAUGGCAGGGCUGAUGUAUGAGGAGCGACUGGAUCGGUUAGGACUGUAUUCACUGGGAUUUAGAAGAAUGAGGAGGGAUCUCGGAAAGCUCUUACAGGGUAAACACAGGAAGGGCUUUCCUGUCGACUGGGGUCUUCUAACAUCACGAGGUCACAAAGAGACAGGCGAGCCUAUGGAAUUCUCCGCCAGAAAAAGCAAUAGGGGCCAAAACAUUGAGCGUUUUCAAGAAGACGUUAGACUAGGACUCAAGGAAUCAAAGCAUGUUAGGAGAAAGCAGGGAAAGGGCUUCUGAAUUGGAUGACCAGCAGUGAUUAUAUUGAAUGGUAGAACAGGCUCAAAGGGCCAAAUGGCCUACUUCUCCUAUUUGCUGUGUUUACUGUUCUAGACAUUGUGCACUGGAACAGCCUCUGCCACGUCCGAUUGUAGACAGCCCCUGUGGUCGGCACGUGGCAAGAUUCUUCACUUGUGGUUCCCUGGGAAUCUGUAUUUCCCACGGGGGAGAAUGCUGGAAACAGCAAUUAUAGUUGUUACCCAAAAUCCGAUAUCAAACAAAUGCUCGUUCAACGAUAAAUGGUGCAUUAACUCACAUUCCUGGUGAUAUUGCUGCCUUGCACAGAUGGUUUCCAAUGGGAAAUAAUUCGUGAGUCCCUGGUGCUGCCCAGGAGCUUCAGGAUCACAGUGCAAUCAUUUUAAAUCAUAUUUGAUCAUGUUUCUGUUUGCCUUCUAACAGAGAAUUGAGGUAAGGCCUUUUGACCGGAGCCCCAAGCAUCCAUAACGUUGUCAUACGAGAUGAAUUCCUCCCCUAACACGACCAUGAACAUUUUUCUUUUAGAUUUUAAGACAAUAUGGCUGCUGGGGGUGAGUGAGCUUGACCACAUGAUGGGUCUGAAAUAGAACAGAGUCCAGCGUCUUCGUUUCGAUUGUCGUGUGUUCCCUUCCAGCAUCUCGUGCUCCUUUCUUCGGUUUUUAUGGUGUAUAUCCGAAACACAAACCCAAAGUGGCCUGCAGGUCGGGCCUGGUGUGGAGUCUUGGUGAAGGGUCACAGCCCUGAAACAUCAAUACUGGCUCCUUUCUCAACAGAUCCUGCCCAAUCAGAGGGGGGGGGGGGGGGGGGGGUGUUGGUCACCUGACUUCAACUAUCCCCUUAUUGUUCAAACUCCUUGUGUCUGAAGGUUUAAUGUGGGUGGGGAGGAGGCUGGCAGUUUUGUUUUGAAAUCCCGGAAAGCUGGAGUGAUGAUGGAAAGUAUUUAUGGUUAACAAUUAGCCUCUCAAAGCUGGGUGUUUGUUUCAAGAACAUGUCUGUACUGAGCCACCUGAGUGACAGUAGCCAUUUGGAACAGAGAACAUGAAAUGAUCAUUCCACACUGGAUGAGAAAGUUUUAAAAGCGUUUAUAAAUGGAUAUAAAAGAGUAGGAGGGAGUUAUUCUAAACUGGUUAUACUGUGGCUUCUUUUGACCAUUGCUGGCUGUAGGGCUGCAGCAGUUCAGUGGGUGGGGGAGUAUAGCUGGAACUUUCUGCUAUGUGGGGGGAGGAGAGAUCCAAAAGGUGGAAGCUUUUGAUCACCUCCCUGGCCUGUUUCCCACAAUAAUCAAAGGGGCUCAUCAUAGUCCAGCGGUCAAUGCCCAGGCAGUGCUGAGUCACUUUAUCAAUAACAAAAACAGAAGUUGCUGGCAGACUUACUUUAUCUUGGGCUAAAGAGGGAAAUGAAGCACAGUUGCACCUGAGGAAGGGAAUUCCAUCCACUCUCAGAGCAACGUCAAUGUUCCGAGGAGGUUUCCUAAUGAACCUAGUCAGGACUGUGUAAAACAAGCAAGAAAUGUUCUCCAGAGAAGGUCACAGAGCGCCGUUAUCAAAGGUUUUGGAAAUUAUGAGGGUGUUUUAAUGGGAUAGAUGGGACAAACUUCCUUCAGACUAUUGGGGGAAAAAAAUUUAAAUUUAUUCAAUAAUGCACUUCAAGGCCUCUGACGGUGUUAGAGUGCCCUCCAGCUGUCAAAGGCUUCGUAAGGCAGGCCAGCAGAGGUGACUGAUUUAAGGUGAUUGCUGAAGGGGGAAAGUUGGAGAAGAUUUAACAGCUUAACAGUUUCAAAGGGGGAGUUGGUUAAAUACUUGAUUUUUAACGAGUGGAGAAAUUACAGGGUAAUGAGGGUGGGAAAUUACAGGGUAAUGGGGAAUGGAAGGGCUAGCUGAAUUGCUCUUUCAAAGGGCUAGCACAGGCACCAUGGGCUAAAUAGUCUCUUCCUGCCAAUGUUUACUUAGUUCUCUCCUAAUAUAAUUUUCCUUAAAUUAGCAAAGUUCAGAUAUAUUUCCUUAUUUUAUAUUCAUUUUGUACAUGCCAAGCACUUAUUUGUGGAUCUUGCUGAAUUAUUUAUUUUUAAAAAGGGUAUGUGGUUUCUUCCCUCUGUUUUUUAUUUGACCGUUUUCUACACUGAUCAGUUUUGAGGACAAUUCGAGUUUUCAGUGAGCAGUGUUUAUUGGGGAGGGGGGUUGUUAUGUUGCAAUAUGGUGGAGCCCGUGCCCCACUGUGUCUCACUAGUAAUGGGCAGCAAUUUGCUUUUGAGGAAAUGUUGAAUUAGCAACUUUUUAAAAAAUGGCAUUUCCAUAAUCAGGGCGGAGUCGAAUAUGUUUCUGAUCUUCUAAACUGAGUUCUUGCUGAUUUUAAAAUGGCUUAUUAGGAGAAAGUGAGGACUGCAGAUGCUGGACAGUCAGAGUCGAAAAGUGUGAUGAUGGAAAAGCACAAUAGG